rnacentral:tRNA from 1 species
UGCUGUCGGGCCGUCAGGCCUUGUGGUUGCCCCCGUUGGCGCUGGGGGCGUCGUCGAUGUCGACGACCUCGGCCGGGUCGUCCGGCGUCGUCACC